rnacentral:rRNA from 1 species
UACGUAGGUGGCAAGCGUUGUCCGGAAUUAUUGGGCGUAAAGAGCUCGUAGGCGGCUUGUCACGUCGGACGUGAAAGCCCGGGGCUUAACUCCGGGUCUGCAUUCGAUACGGGCUGGCUAGAGUGUGGUAGGGGAGAUCGGAAUUCCCGGUGUAGAGGUGAAAUUCGUAGAUAUUGGGAAGAACACCCGUGGCUAAGGCGGUUCUCUAGUACGGUACUGACGCUGAGACGCGAAAGCGUGGGGAGCGAACAGG